rnacentral:snoRNA from 1 species
AUGAGGAUGACUUGCCCCCUAUUGACUUGUGAGAUCUAUUCCGCGGACUGA